rnacentral:other from 1 species
GUUCCCCUGCUAUGUUCGUGAUUAGCGGAAGAUUUUUGAGCUAACGCUAAGGAGAAAGGGAGUUCCCCCUGGCCUUUGUGUGUCUCUUUACCUGCUGAAGAAGACCUAAUGGGGUAAUGGAACGCCCACCUUGUGAGGAUCAGGUUCAAAAAGAGCCGCUAACACGGCAUUAGAGCGGGGGGACA